rnacentral:rRNA from 1 species
GUGAAAGAGAACCUGAAACCCUGUGUCUACAAGCUGUGGAAGUGCUUUAUAUGCACGACCGCGUACUUUUUGUAGAACGGUCCGGCGAGUUACGCUUACUGGCAAGGUUAAGCACUUCAGGUGUGGAGCCGUAGGGAAACCAAGUCUUAAGAGGGCCUUAAGUCAGUAGGAGUAGACCCGAAACCGGGUGAUCUAUCCAUGUCCAGGUUGAAGCUGCCGUAAGAGGUAGUGGAGGACCGAACCCACAUCCGUUGAAAAGGGUGGGGAUGAGGUGUGGAUAGGGGAGAAAUUCCAAUCGAACCCGGAGAUAGCUGGUUCUCCUCGAAAUAGCUUUAGGGCUAGCCUCGAUACAGAUUUGCGGAGGUAGAGCACUGAAUUUCCUAGGGGGCGUCAAAGCCUACCGAAGAAUAUCAAACUCCGAAUGCCGCGUAAUCGAUUAUCGGGAGUCAGACUGCACGAGAUAAGUUGGGCGGUCAAAAGGGAAAGAGCCCAGACCUUCAGUUAAGGUCCCCAAGUGCGCGUUAAGUGGAAAAGGAUGUGGGAUUUCGAAGACAACCAGGAUGUUGGCUCAGAAGCAGCCAUCCAUUCAAAGAGUGCGUAAUAGCUCACUGGUCGAGAGGUCCUGCGCCGAAAAUGUCCGGGGCUGAAACGCGCCACCGAAACUAAGGAACCGAAAGGUUGGUAGAGGAGCAUUGCAUGCGGGAAGAAGCAGUACCGUAAGGAGCUGUGGACUGCAUGGAAGAGAGAAUGCCGGAAUGAGUAGCGAGAAUAAGGUGAGAAUCCUUAUGGCCGAAUAUCCAAGGUUUCCAGAGUAAAGCUGAUCUGCUCUGGGUAAGUCGGGGCCUAAGGCGAGGACGAGAGUCGUAGCCGAUGGACAACAGGUGGAGAUUCCUGUACUGCGGUAUGACAGAACUGUGGGGACACGUAAGGAAAGCGGAAGCCGGG